UCAAAGGAAUUGACGGGGGCCCGCACAAGCGGCGGAGCAUGCGGAUUAAUUCGAUGCAACGCGAAGAACCUUACCAAGGCUUGACAUGGACCGGACCGCUGCAGAGAUGCAGCUUCCCUUCGGGGUCGGUUCACAGGUGGUGCAUGGUUGUCGUCAGCUCGUGUCGUGAGAUGUUGGGUUAAGUCCCGCAACGAGCGCAACCCCUAUCCUAUGUUGCCAGCACGUCAUGGUGGGGACUCAUGGGAGACUGCCGGGGUCAACUCGGAGGAAGGUGGGGACGACGUCAAAUCAUCAUGCCCCUUAUGUCUUGGGCUUCACGCAUGCUACAAUGGCCGGUACAAUGGGUUGCGAUACUGUGAGGUGGAGCUAAUCCCUAAAAGCCGGUCUCAGUUCGGAUCGAAGUCUGCAACUCGACUUCGUGAAGUUGGAGUCGCUAGUAAUCGCAGAUCAGCAACGCUGCGGUGAAUACGUUCCCGGGCCUUGUACACACCGCCCUGUCAAGUCACGAAAGUGGGUAACACCUCGAAGCCGG
rnacentral:rRNA from 1 species